UGCAGUUUUGUGCCACAUGUUGUUUAAUGUAUUAUAUAGGUGAUGGAUACAGCUGUUGCUGCUAAGCCACAUAUGGGCGGGAGCAUAAUGGUGAAACAGGUUUUGGAAGUCCAACAAGUAUCUACUAUAUAAGUAAAUGGUUUCUAUUCGAUCUACACAUUUGAAUAUAAGCAAUAUUCAGUUGACGAUCGUUCAGAUUACAUUAAUACCUUUGAGAUAAAGAUGGUACGUUUAACACUCGUAUUGUUGUUUGUUGUUGCUGUUGCUUUUGUUGUUGCUGAUGAGGAUGAAGACAAUUCCUGCACCGAACUUAAAGAUUGCCCUUGUGGAAGUAUUUGCAUUGAUGGUGCAUGCACAGAGGGUUGCAUGUUGUACGACAAAUUUAUGCCGGCGGGUUCCGAGUCAGAGGUGUACGGCAGAAAAAUGUCAUUGUGGUGAUACUCCCGACGAGAAAGGAAUGUUGCUAGAG